UUAGAUGUUUGGUAUUUAACAUUGUAACUGUGAUUUAUUAUUUUUACUGAAUAGAAAAUGCGCGUUCGAACAAAUAAAUAGAAUAAAUAAUCUUGUGGAAACUGUACACAGGGCACAGGGAUGUGGUAUGCUGGUAUGGACACAGUUACGAGGACUGCUUUUAUUUAUCGGCGACAUGAAAGGCUGCAACAUAAAAGGUGAAUGCUUCAUGUAGCAUCUUAAGCCCGCCACUCACGUUCCAACGCCGCAGUACAAUUGUGUUGGAUACGACGAAAUUGAAGUGUUUUUGAACGUAUGUGUAUGCGAUCAAGCAAAUCGGUUGGAUGUGGACGGUUGGUGAACAAGUCUGUCUGCAGCAGUACAAUCGUGUUGUAUUGGAUGGAAAUUUGAUCAUGUGUGGACAUGACUCGACAGUGUAUGUUAUUCAAACCGUGAGAGCAGCUAUAAAAGUACAUUUUCGUCAUUUUGUCGGACAUGUUGUCAUCACGAUCGCAAAUUUUUAACUGCAAGGUCGUAACGUGUGUGUGUAUUGCUGCUUUUUAACAGAAUUGUACAACAGUUGCAUCAAAUACAAUUGUACUGCAGCGUUGGAACGUGAAUGUCCAGCUUUGGGAUUACCAAAUGGUGGAUCAUCAUCAAAGGCGUUGAAGUGACAGAGAAGUUUAUCAUAUAUGAUGACAUUACGUGCAACGGCAAAAUAACUACAUGUUUCACAGAUUCCAAGGGAAAUUAAAGAAGCCCCUGAAGCAGGUUUUUUCAUUGUGCCUGCAAUCACGAGGUGGUCUACCACUGUAGUCCAUGUUACUAUGAAAAGGUUCUCAGAAUCACUUCACUAAUUUAACUAACAACAAAAAUUCAACCAAAAACAUCAAAGUACUUUUCCCAGGGAAGAUGAAAAUAACAGCGUUCACUUUCUGACUCUUCAAACGGUUCACACUUGGCGAAAAUUGAAGGCGUUGACAAAAUAGUUUAUUAAUAUUCAUCCGAUGUUUAUAUUCGUUCCUUUUACAUUGUUUUACGGACGAUCUGUAUUUGUAAUUUAGGCAACCAAUAUUCCACUUCGUUUCAAAAAUCCCGCCUAAUCAAAACGGUUGGGUAAGGACACGUUGUUCCAAUAUUUGACG